rnacentral:rRNA from 1 species
GACGAACCGUGCAAACGUUAUUCGGAAUCACUGGGCGUAAAGCGCACGUAGGCGGCUUUCUAAGUCAGGGGUGAAAUCCUGGAGCUCAACUCCAGAACUGCCUUUGAUACUGGAAAGCUUGAGUUCGGGAGAGGUGAGUGGAACUGCGAGUGUAGAGGUGAAAUUCGUAGAUAUUCGCAAGAACACCAGUGGCGAAGGCGGCUCACUGGCCCGAUACUGACGCUGAGGUGCGAAAGCUUGGGGAGCAAACAGG